UCCUCCCUCUGGCUUCGUGCUUAACACAUGCAAGUCGAACGGAAAGGCCCUGCUUGCAGGGUACUCGAGUGGCGAACGGGUGAGUAACACGUGGGUGAUCUGCCCUGCACUUCGGGAUAAGCCUGGGAAACUGGGUCUAAUACCGGAUAGGAGCCAUUUUUAGUGUGAUGGUUGGAAAGUUUUUUCGGUGUAGGAUGAGCUCGCGGCCUAUCAGCUUGUUGGUGGGGUAAUGGCCUACCAAGGCGGCGACGGGUAGCCGGCCUGAGAGGGUGGACGGCCACAUUGGGACUGAGAUACGGCCCAGACUCCUACGGGAGGCAGCAGUGGGGAAUAUUGCACAAUGGGCGCAAGCCUGAUGCAGCGACGCCGCGUGGGGGAUGACGGCCUUCGGGUUGUAAACUCCUUUCGCUAGGGACGAAGCUUUUUGUGACGGUACCUAGAGAAGAAGCACCGGCUAACUACGUG
rnacentral:rRNA from 1 species